UCUUCGCUAGUAUAUCGGUUAGUAUAAUCGCCUCUCAAGAGAGAGCACCUGAGCUCGCAAGAGCCUCCAGUGACCGCGAUAGAGCAGGGUUCGACUCCCUGGCGGAGAA
rnacentral:tRNA from 2 species